UACGUAGGGUGCGAGCGUUAAUCGGAAUUACUGGGCGUAAAGAGUGCGUAGGCGGUUCGUUAUGUCUGCUGUGAAAGCCCCGGGCUUAACCCGGGAAUGGCAGUGGAAACUGGCGGGCUAGAAUCUGGCAGAGGGGGGUAGAAUUCCACGUGUAGCAGUGAAAUGCGUAGAGAUGUGGAGGAACACCGAUGGCGAAGGCAGCCCCCUGGGUCAAGAUUGACGCUCAUGCACGAAAGCGUGGGGAGCAAACAGG
rnacentral:rRNA from 1 species